AUAACUCUUGUAAGGGCACUUGGAGUCACGGAAUGUCAGAGCUGAAAGGAACUGUUUAACUGCCAAUGUUUAGGGGGCGGGGCCUGGGGUCGGGAAAGCCUCAGUGACCCGUGCAAGGCCACCCAAUUGGAAGCAGCAGACUCUUACCCAGACUAAAACACAAGGUUGAGGCUGCCCUCCAGGCAUGCUUCCCAUAUAGCCUGCAGGAAACGAAGCAUCCUCAUUGCACAGGACACCUUGAGGGCUCAUGGUCUCUUCCAGAAGUCACUGUACCACCAUUAUUCCAUGGUCUGAAACCACACUGGAAAAGAGGAGACCCCCGAGACCCCUGCUGUGCCUUCUCACAGAACUAUGAAGUGGCAGAAACCAUGUAUGCAUCCAGGUUCUUCAAUUUCCAAGCUUUUGUGCUUCAUCGCCAUGGAUACUGCCUCCUUGAGAAUGCUUUCUACGUACCAUCACCCACUUGGAGCGUAAGAUGCUCCAAGAGUCUGAGGGCCAGCACCAUCCAUCAUCCAGCUGCGUACAUUUACUAAUAUAAAUUAAAAGUCCUUUUAAAAUAAAAGUAUAGAAUGAGUACUUUGACUUGGC
ensembl:lncRNA